GCUAAACAGCUAGCUUAAACAGUUAAACUGCCCCAACAACAUUAACAAGUUUUACAAAACCCAUACAACAUAACUAAAACAUUCUCCCGCCCUAGUACGAGUGACAGAAAAGGCACCCGCUAAAGCGAUAAGAAAGUACCGCAAGGGAAAGCUGAAAGAGAAAUGAAACAAACCAUUAAAGCCCAACAAAGCAGAGCCUAACCCUCGUACCUUUUGCAUCAUGAUUUAGCCAGUCAUUCUGAGCAAAGGGCACUUUAGUUCAGACCCCCGAAACUAAGUGAGCUACCCCGAGACAGCCUAUUUUUUAGGGCCAACCCGUCUCUGUGGCAAAAGAGUGGGAAGAUCCCCGGGUAGCGGUGACAGACCUACCGAACUUAGUUAUAGCUGGUUGCCUGAGAAAUGGAUAGAAGUUCAGCCUCGCACUCCUCAAAUCAUAUUAAGUUUUACUACAUUAAGAAUUCGAGAAAAAUGUGAGAGUUAGUCAAGGGAGGUACAGCUCCCUUGAAAUAGGACACAACCUUACCAGGAGGUUAAAGAUCAAACUAAACAAGAUUGCCGCUUAAGUGGGCCUAAAAGCAGCCACCUAAACAGAAAGCGUUAAAGCUCGGGCGGACCAAAGUCUAUUAUACAGAUAUUUUAUCUUAAACCCCUAAAACUAUCAGGCCUUUCCAUGCCAACAUGGAAGCGAUACUGCUAAAAUGAGUAAUAAGAAGGGACCCCCUUCUCCAAAGCCCGAGUGUAAACUAGAUCGGACCAACCACUAGUCAUUAACGAACCCAAGCCAAGAGGGUACUGUGACCAAAAAAAUUAUCAAGAAAACCUCACAAACCACAAUCGUUAAUCCCACACUGGAGGGCUUCAAGGAAAGACUAAAAGAAGAGGAAGGAACUCGGCAAACACAAGCCUCGCCUGUUUACCAAAAACAUCGCCUCCCGCAAAAACCACAAUGUAUAGGAGGUCUUGCCUGCCCAGUGACUACAAGUUAAACGGCCGCGGUAUUUUGACCGUGCAAAGGUAGCGCAAUCACUUGUCUUUUAAAUGAAGACCUGUAUGAAUGGUGGAACGAGGGCUUAACUGUCUCCCCCUUCAAGUCAAUGAAAUUGAUCUCCCCGUGCAGAAGCGGGCAUAACAAUACAAGACGAGAAGACCCUUUGGAGCUUGAGAUGUAAGACCAACUAUGUCAAGAAGCCCUAAAAGGAUUAAACUAAAUAGUAACUGGUCCUCAUCUUCGGUUGGGGCGACCACGGGAGAUAACAAAGCUCCCACGCGGACUGGGGAAACCCCCAAAACUAAGAGAGACAUCUCUAAGUCGCAGAAUAUCUGACCAAAAAGAUCCGGCUUCCUGCCGAUCAACGGACCAAGUUACCCUAGGGAUAACAGCGCAAUCCCCUUCCAGAGUUCAUAUCGACAAGGGGGUUUACGACCUCGAUGUUGGAUCAGGACAUCCUAAUGGUGCAGCCGCUAUUAAGGGUUCGUUUGUUCAACGAUUAAAGUCCUACGUGAUCUGAGUUCAGACCGGAGCAAUCCAGGUCAGUUUCUAUCUGUAAUGCCAUUCUUCCUAGUACGAAAGGACCGGAAAAAUGAGGCCUAUGUUUCAAACACGCCCCAUCCCCAUCUAAUGAAAACAACUAAACUAGACAAAAGGAGAGCACAACCUAAAAAUUCAAGAUAAGAAUUU
rnacentral:rRNA from 1 species